UGAAACUCGCCUGCACGAAGUUGGAAUUGCUAGUAAUCGCGGAUCAGCAUGCCGCGGUGAAUACGUUCCCGGGUCUUGUACACACCGCCCGUCACACCAUGGGAGCUGGUAACACCCGAAGUCAGUAGUCUAACCGCAAGGAGGACGCUGCCGAAGGUGGGAUUAGCGACUGGGGUGAAGUCGUAACAAGGUACC
rnacentral:rRNA from 1 species